GACGAACGCUGGCGGCGUGCCUAACACAUGCAAGUCGAACGGUGAAGCGCCUUCCUUUCUGGUGUUUGUGGAUGAGCGGCGAACGGGUGAGUAACACGUGAGUAACCUGCCUCCCUCUUCUGGAUAACCGCAUGAAAUAGUGGCUAAUACGGGAUAUUCUGGGUCUGUCGCAUGUUGGGUCUGGGGAAGAUUUUGUUUCGGUGGGGGUUGGGCUCCCGUCCUUUAAGUUUGUUGGUGGGGGGUUGGUCUACCAAGGCAGAGACAGGCGGCCGGCCAGGGAGGGUGGACGGUCACACGGGGAGUGAGACACGGCCCAGACUCCGGCGGGAGGCAGCAGGAGGGAAUAUUGAAGAGUGCGAGCAAGCCUGAUGAAGCGAGGGCGAGUGAGGGAUGGAGGCCUUCGGGUUGUGAACCUCUUACGCCAAGGAAGGGGGCGUGACUCGUAUGUGGACAGUUUGACGGUAGCUUGAUAGGAAGCGCCGGCUAACUACGUG
rnacentral:rRNA from 1 species